AUUGAACGCUGGCGGCAGGCUUAACACAUGCAAGUCGAGCGGAGAUGAGGUGCUUGCACCUUAUCUUAGCGGCGGACGGGUGAGUAAUGCUUAGGAAUCUGCCUAUUAGUGGGGGACAACAUUCCGAAAGGAAUGCUAAUACCGCAUACGUCCUACGGGAGAAAGCAGGGGAUCUUCGGACCUUGCGCUAAUCGAUGAGCCUAAGUCGGAUUAGCUAGUUGGUGGGGUAAAGGCCUACCAAGGCGACGAGCUGUAGCGGGUCUGAGAGGAUGAUCCGCCACACUGGGACUGAGACACGGCCCAGACUCCUACGGGAGGCAGCAGUGGGGAAUAUUGGACAAUGGGGGAACCCUGAUCCAGCCAUGCCGCGUGUGUGAAGAAGGCCUUAUGGUUGUAAAGCACUUUACGCGAGGAGGAGGCUACUGAGACUAAUACUCUUGGAUAGUGGACGUUACUCGCAGAAUAAGCACCGGCUAACUCUGUGCCAGCCGCCGCAGUAAAAC
rnacentral:rRNA from 1 species